UUUUUUUAACAGAGAGAAACAAAUCAGAAGCAAAAACAUGGGAUACUUUAUUAUUUUCUGUUGAUGGUUUAGAUGUAUGAAAACACAGCAAAUAUUGAUAUUGUUUUUAAAACCUCAACCUAGAAUACAUUAAAGAAAGUACAUUCAGCUUCCUUGGAUUAGCAAGCAGGCAAGAUUUGCAUUUAAAAUAAGAGUCCAGAUCGUGCGCCCUCUCAGACAGGGUUAAACCAGACCAGAAAAAAUUGCAGGGUCAGGGCCAAGGCAGCUGCCUGCACGCCUGUUAUGUCUGUCAUUGUUUGUUUUGUCUUUUUGGACUUGUAAGCUCUGGGGCCAGGAGAGCACCGUGGGGCCCUCCCGCCGGCCCUGCCUCAGUGCCACCGGGCAAGGCUUUGUUUGCCCAGCAGUCAGAGCGGCGGAGUCCGGGCCUGCCUGGGGCCUUCAGGUACACACACGUACUGCACGCUGCCUGCCUCUCGCUGUCACCGGCAGCCACCUGCAUUGCGCCGGGCUUCUGCAGGUUCUCCUGUUUUGGGACUGCACAGCCGUGGCUUAGGCAGAGCUUCGUGUUUGGACACUGUUACGAUGUGACACAAACUCGGAGGCGGAGAGGUCCUGGUGACUGUUUUUGGUGGAUGCAGAUGAUUUGCCAUCACGUUUCCACGCACCAAGACUGACGAGCACAGCCAUGGCAGAGGAGAGCUGAACAGGAAAUUCUGGCUUCAUUGACAACAAUGGCAGAAAUUUGCGCUUUCUGGAGUGCAAGAGUUCUUCUCUACCACUGCAUAAAACUGCCCAAAGGGAAUCACGAAUACUUCAGCAUUUCAGAGCUACUUCUGGAAAUGACUUGACUAGGAACUCACAGGUGUUGUGCACAUUCUUGUGCAUUGCUUCAACAUGCAAAUUGCUUUGGUAUCAUAGUCUUAUACUGAAGGUAAUACUGUCUCAGUCUGUGUGUACAUCUUCCUGCUUAUGAGCAAAACUACUCAUUAAUAUUGAUAGAAGAAUGCAUUAAAAGAUUCAUAUUGUAGAAGAAAUGCAAACACUGCAAGCUGAGGGAGAAAGACACCAAUACCUUUUUUUUUUUCCCCCUUUUUCUUUUUUCUUUUUUACCUAAGUGAAAAGUGAGGAUCCGUAGCAUUUUGGAAUUCAGCAACGAACAACUUUGCACAUCAGAACAUCAGCACACUUCUUAGAGUUGAUGUUAGCUGAGUCACUUGCUACUUUCAACUGUAACUCCCUCAUAGAGAAGGUAUAUUAGAAAAAUCAAUAGGGAAAUCAAUAUGUUUUAUCCAAGAUAUCGGAUGUGUCCCAGAUGCUUACAUUGCUAAAUAGUAUUUGAUUCAAAUAAAAUAUAUCUUGCACCCUUUGUAUUAAAGUGGGAGUUGACAUGUAUUUCUCUUGUCUCCCUUCUCCAUUCCCGGUUGAGUAGCAUUUGCACUCUGGCACCAAUUUGUGUGGAAUUUCAAUGUGUUUUGGAAAUAAAAUUGAUUAGCACUUUCUUUCCUGAAGAACCAUCUUAACAUCAUCCCUACAAUUAUAGGAAAUUAAGUUGAAUAAAAAUACUUCUUAGUUUUAUUUCCCAAAUAAAGAAAUACUGCAGUAUAAUGAAGGGCUGUGCAGGAGAGCUCUAGGACUACUUUACAAAAAGCAACAGUCAGUGAAGUGGAAAAAUGAGGGAAUAAAAACUGGAUUUCACAGUAAACUGUUUCCAUUGGAUUUAAUCUCUAGAUAUCACGUUGAUAUUUAUGUGCAUACAAAUUAUAUUCUAUGGGAACACUACGGGGUAAAUUAACAGUGCACUGCACAUAGAUUAGACAUGCAGAUGACAAAAGUGGGAGUUAAGUGUGUAGAAAAUAUAUCCCUAAAUCAACAUUUACUUAACUCGUUGACAAACAGGAGCAUCAGGAAAGCAUUUUAAGACUUACUACAUUUUGCAUGAAGACACACAGCUCUUAGUAAAGAUGUUGGUAAUGUCCUCUAACUUUCUCACAACAGCAUUAUCUUUAAUAUAAGACUGGUAAGCAUUCUUUUGGCAAGCUAAAUGUUAAAGUAAAUAGAUGAAAGAAAGAAAAAUCCAGGGGCCGCAUGGUUUCAUGAUGAUAACAGGACACAGUGGUUCUUAUCUAUAGGUUAGAAUCACACUUUGGAACACAUUCAGUGAACUUCCAGUGAGGUGGGAGUUUCAGCUAUUUUCAAAGCUUAACAGC
rnacentral:lncRNA from 1 species